GACGAACGCUGGCGGCGUGCCUAAUACAUGCAAGUCGAACGCAGUGGGGACGGGUGCGUAACACGUGGGUAACCUCACAUCAGCGGGGAUAACACUUGGAAACAGGUGCUAAAACGAUACUGAUGGAUGGACCAGCGGUGCAUUAGCUAGUUGGUGAGGUCACUGCGCACCAAGGCCACAAUGCAUAACCGACCGGAGCGGGUGUUCGGCACAACUGGGACUGAGACACGGCCCAGAAUCCUACGGGAGGAAGCAGUAGGGAAUAUUAGGUAAUGGACUAAAGUCUGACCGGGCAAAGCCGCGUGAGUGAAGAAGGUUUUAGGAUCGUAAAACUCUGUUGUUAGAGAAGCGGUAUCUAACCAGAAAGCAACGGCUAACUACGUGCCAGCCGCCGCGGUAAUUC
rnacentral:rRNA from 1 species